UAGGGAAUUUUGGGCAAUGGGCGAAAGCCUGACCCAGCAACGCCGCGUGUGGGAUGAAGGCCCUCGGGUCGUAAACCACUGUCAGGAGGAAAGAAAAGUCGGCCGGAUAAUACUCGGUCGACCUGACGGUACCUCCAAAGGAAGCACCGGCUAACUCCGUGCCAGCAGCCGCGGUAAUACGUAGGGUGCAGGCGUUAAUCGGAAUUACUGGGCGUAAAGGGUGCGCAGGCGGUUUGUUAAGACAGGUGUGAAAUCCCCGGGCUUAACCUGGGAAUUGCGCCUGUAACUGGCAGGCUAGAGUGUGGCAGAGGGGGGUGGAAUUCCACGUGUAGCAGUGAAAUGCGUAGAUAUGUGGAGGAACACCGAUGGCGAAGGCAGCCCCCUGGGUUAACACUGACGCUCAUGCACGAAAGCGUGGGGAGCAAACAGGAUUAGAUACCCAAGUAGUCCCUGAGCGGGCUGGCAAGGCGCAU
rnacentral:rRNA from 1 species